GUAAGUUCCGACCUGCACGAAUGGCGUAACGACUUCUCAACUGUCUCAACCAUAGACUCGGCGAAAUUGCACUACGAGUAAAGAUGCUCGUUACGCGCGGCAGGACGAAAAGACCCCGGGACCUUCACUACAACUUGGUAUUGGAGUUCGUUACGGUUUGUGUAGGAUAGGUGGGAGACUGUGAAACUCACACGCCAGUGUGGGUGGAGUCGUUGUUGAAAUACCACUCUGAUCGUAUUGGGCUUCUAACUUCGAACCGUAUAUCCGGUUCAGGGACAGUGCCUGGUGGGUAGUUUAACUGGGGCGGUUGCCUCCAAAAAAGUAACGGAGGCGCCCAAAGGUUCCCUCAGCCUGGUUGGCAAUCAGGUGUCGAGUGUAAGUGCACAAGGGAGCUUGACUGUGAGACUGACGGGUCGAGCAGGGACGAAAGUCGG
rnacentral:rRNA from 1 species